CCUACGGGAGGCAGCAGUGGGGAAUAUUGCACAAUGGGCGCAAGCCUGAUGCAGCCAUGCCGCGUGUGUGAAGAAGGCCUUCGGGUUGUAAAGCACUUUCAGCGGGGAGGAAGGCGUUAAGGUUAAUAACCUUGCCGAUUGACGUUACCCGCAGAAGAAGCACCGGCUAACUCCGUGCCAGCAGCCGCGGUAAUACGGAGGGUGCAAGCGUUAAUCGGAAUUACCGGGCGCAAAGCGCACGCAGGCGGUCUGUCAAGUCGGAUGUGAAAUCCCCGGGCUCAACCUGGGAACUGCAUUCGAAACUGGCAGGCUAGAGUCUUGUAGAGGGGGGUAGAAUUCCAGGUGUAGCGGUGAAAUGCGUAGAGAUCUGGAGGAAUACCGGUGGCGAAGGCGGCCCCCUGGACAAAGACUGACGCUCAGGUGCGAAAGCGUGGGGAGCAAACAGGAUUAGAUACCCUUGUAGUC
rnacentral:rRNA from 1 species